rnacentral:misc_RNA from 1 species
GCUGAACUCCAUAUACGAAUCUCCUCACCAUCGGCGACGUCUCCUCCCAUACCAAUAUGCAAAUGCAGCAAUCGAUCCAGCAAGGAUAACUCCGGCAGUCGCAUGCCACCGAUACACAGGUUUUUCUAGAACAAGGGAAGGACCAGAAACAUCUACAUUGGUGACUUGUGAUGGAGGUGGUUCACGACUAACUGCCAUAGCAUAACUCAGUCCCCG